rnacentral:rRNA from 1 species
GCGGAGGAAAAGAAAAUAACAAUGAUUUCCCUAGUAACGGCGAGUGAAGAGGAAAGAGCUCAAAGUUGGAACCUGUUUGGCUUAGCUAAACCGGAUUGUAAACUGUAGAAGUGUUUUCCUGACACGCCUGGUAAAAAAGUCCUUUGGAACAGGGCAUCAUAGAGGGUGAGAAUCCCGUGUUUGGCCAGAGCUGUUGUCUUUUGUGAUACAUUUUCAAAGAGUCAGGUUGUUUGGGAAUGCAGCCUAAAUUGGGUGGUAAAUCUCACCUAAAGCUAAAUAUUUGCGAGAGACCGAUAGCGAACAAGUACCGUGAGGGAAAGAUGAAAAGAACUUUGAAAAGAGAGUUAAACAGUAUGUGAAAUUGUUAAAAGGGAACCGUUUGGAGCCAGACUGGCUUGACUGUAAUCAAUCUAGGCUUCGGCCUGGAUGCACUUGCGGUUUAUGCCUGCCAACGACAAUUUUUUUUGAGGGAAAAAACUAUUAGGAAUGUGGCCCCUCUCGGGGGGUGUUAUAGCCUUUUAGAAAAUACCUUGAAUUGGAUUGAGGAACGCAGUGAAUGCCUUUAGGCAAGAUUGCUGGGUGCUUUUGUUAAUAAAUGCUAGAAUUUCUGCUUCGGGUGGUGCUAGUGUUUAAAGAUGGAACUCGCCUAGUAUAUUUUUUAUUCGCUUAGGUUGUUGGCUUAAUGACUCUAAAUGAC